AAUGGAUGCUGCUCUAGGACGGACUCCCUCCCCACGCAGCCUCUUGUACUUAACAAAUGCAUGUUUUUAAAGGAGUUUUAUUUGCAGGUCUGCAAUGCAGCCCUUAAAUCUGGAGGAGGCGACACUACCAAAGACAGCCCCCCACCCCCAGGAAGAUACUGUUCUUUGUCAGCAGUUUUGAGGAAAAACUUUUACUGGCAUCCUAACAUACAGCAAUGCUUCUGCCCAGUGGCUGGGACUCAGAACAGAGACUGCAGCCCCUGUGGACUGAAGAGGUUGGUGUUGCAACUGAAGAUAAAUAGAUCGAAGGAAUCAUUUUUACUUUCUUAACAGGUAAGUUGGGACAGGUGAGUAAGAUGGGCUGGGGUAUAAAACAGCCAACGAGCCCAGUACCUUCAAAUCUAACUUGGCAAUAAAUCUUUUAGCCCAGUAAAUACCUGUUCUUCACCCUGCUCUUUCAGUUACUAGGGAGCUGUCUGUCUUGGUACCAUGCCACCAGAAAUCUCCUAAACCAUUAUAUAGGUGUAGAUAAUGGUUUGGAAGAAUGAUGUACCAUAUUUACCCAAAUAGAAGGCAAAACUGACUGCAAGACAAUGACUUCAAAGAUAGAGACUAAAUGCAAGUUAUAUCUGUAUUUACCCUCAAGAAAGAGGAAUGCCUCCCCACCCACCCACCCUAC